AAAUUGAAGAGUUUGAUCAUGGCUCAGAUUGAACGCUGGCGGCAGGCCUAACACAUGCAAGUCGAACGGUAACAGGAAGAAGCUUGCUUCUUUGCUGACGAGUGGCGGACGGGUGAGUAAUGUCUGGGAAACUGCCUGAUGGAGAGGGAUAACUACUGGAAACGGUAGCUAAUACCGCAUAACGUCGCAAAC
rnacentral:rRNA from 1 species